rnacentral:tRNA from 1 species
GCCGAAGUGGUGGAACUGGCAGACGCGCUGGACUCAAAAUCCAGUGGGGGCAACUCCGUGCGGGUUCGACUCCCGCCUUCGGCACCA